UUUUCGAAUGAAAAGUAACCAUUUCUUAGUUUUUUCUGCAGAACUGCCAAUAUGGUUAUUUUUCCUAAAUAUUUCAUGUUUCAAUUUUAACCAUAUUCCAACUUUUCGGUUAUUAACCAAAAAAAGAAUGAAAAUUUAACCUCAAUCGAAAAAAAACAUUGUAUAAUGGCAAAGUUGUACGCGUUGUUCGGAAGUUUUUUAUCCGAUAUCGGAUGGAUUUCACCGGAAGGGUUAAAAGUAUUUCAAUUUUAGGAUCAAAUAACAUAGCACACCCGCUGCUGGAAGGUAAUUCAUUGCUAAUAUUAUCCUUGAGUUCGACAGGUAACAAAAUUUAUUUGUAGGAAACUUAUGGCCAAUCUUCAAUACCAUUCUUCCUCUCAUAGUCAGCUAUCAGGUACUAUGGCCAUCCUGUUUAGAAUCAUAAAAAUGCCCUACAUCCUACAGCGGGCUACCGCUGGCAGGCCAGAGAAGCCAUGAGGAUGACAAAUCAUGAUAACUUCCGGACGAGCAGCUGGAUACCGAAAUGCGAAAAUUCGACGUGAUAGAUUUGUUUGCCGUCACCCUUCUAAAAUUCAACUUAAUGUCUACCACUCCGGAUACUUUCAAGGUUUCGAUGCCUUGCGGAAAAAGAUGAAAUCUCAUUCCGACAAUUCCAUCGAAUCGGAAGUAAAAUAUCUCCUGGGGCUUUAACCACCUUUAACUGCAUGCUUUAAAGACCGCAACAAAAUCAUGUGUCCCUGCCAAGAAGACUCCGAGGGCAAUCAAACAAGUACUCCCGUUUAGAACAAAAAUUGGUAAAAUAUUUUCUGACAUAUAUAUUUACGAUUUUCUUUUAAAAUAUUUUAUUUAAUUUUAGGACGUCGAAAUUCUAGUGUUAGCACAAUUGUCAUCAAAAGCAUAACAGACCACCACUUCCAGCGCAGUUGUUAGCGUUUCCUGUUUGGCUUCGCUGCCGAUCAGCGAUACAGUCCUCAUCUUUUUUUGGUACCCCAUACGCUACUUCCAGGAGCCGAAUCAUCAACUCUACAAGCUACUUCCUCCUGCGCCACGUUCACCGAUGAUGGCUUCACCUCCUGUACCAGCUACCGGUGCCAACAUUACCAACAAUCAUCCGGCCCCAAUUAAUUUGAAAGCACCUAAAAAGAACGUCCUUCAGUCAGCCAAUCCGUUUGAAGGCUUCCACUUGUCUAGGCCCAACAGCAAGCUUCAGGGAAUAGUUUGUAGUCAGCAUGUUCUACAACAGCUGGCACGAAAACAAUGUACCGUCCCAGAAGGACUUUGAUUUCUGUCGCCAAAAAAAAUAUUUAGAACAAAAAUAUACUAAAUAUUAUCACUACUCUUUCUUCGGUUUCUGUGAUUUUGCGAUUGAACGAAAAAUGACGAUAUUUAUCGAAAAUUUUAUGACAAAUCCUCAUGAAUCUAAAAAUCUAACUCAUUUGAAUUUCGGUUGAAAAAUAACCAUUUUUCAACUUCUCCUCCAGAAUCCCAUUCGGUUGAAAAAUAACCAUAUUCGAACUUCUCCCUAAGAAGUCAUUUUAUGACUUCUCAUGAAGAACUCAUAAAAUGACAUUUCCCGGGAAAAGGUCAAAAAUGGUUAUUUUUGAAUCGUAAAUGGUUUAAUAGUUUCUAGCGUGUAGUUUGUUUACGUUUGAACUACGCAGUGGUGGUUGAAAAUGCAGCGGAGGCAACCCGGAUUAGCACAAAUCUGCGAGCAGCGGGCUUACCGGAAGCAGGAAGUUGUGAAGAUGAUGGUCGCAUUGUGGCGUGUCGAAUUUCCAUUAACUUAGAAAAUGCGUUAAAAAGUGCCAGGAAUUGCUUCCAUCCGAGAUACAGUUAAUCAUCGAAUUCUGAUUGAAUAAGUCUUGAGUCUGUAUCUGGAAACCGGCGCAGCACCGGAAGCCAAAUCCAAAAAUUUUGACAGCAGUUGAAUGCGUCUCGAGU